GGGGGCGGGCGGCCAGCGCUGCCCGGCGCGGGGGAGGCACCGGCGGCCGCCGGGAGCAGCCGGCUCGGGAGCGCCGCGUCCUCCAGCCGGUCCGGUUGUCCCUGUGCCUGCGAGCCCUCCGCUUGUUUCCCGAAGCUGCUGUGCUGUGAUGCCCCGGAAUGCCUCAUGGCAGAGCCGCCCGGCCGCCCCGCUGGAGCGUGGCGCUGCCCUGUAGGGAGCUGGGUAAGUGAAACCUCAUCCUCGGCAUGCGAAAUGCUGCCUGACCCCACGGCCUGUCCUCACAAACCUGCUCA
rnacentral:lncRNA from 1 species